rnacentral:rRNA from 1 species
CGUACGGCUCAGUCCCACGUAGUCAACCUACCCUGGAGAUGCGGGCAAGCCCGGGAAACUGGGACUAAUUCGCGAUAGAUGACUUCAUCUGGAAGGAGAGGUCGUCCAAAAGGAUGUGCGAGUAUGCUUCGUGCUUCCGCUCCAGGAUGGGACUGCGGCCGAUCAGGCUGUUGGCGGGGUAAUGGCCCACCAAACCUGUAACCGGUACGGGCCGUGAGAGCGGGAGCCCGGAGAUGGGCACUGAGACAAGGGCCCAGGCCCUACGGGGCGCAGCAGUCGCGCAAACUUUGCAAUACACGAAAGUGUGACAGGGCUAUCCCGAGUGCCGCCCGCUGAGGGUGGCUUUUGCCCAGUAUAGCAAGCUGGGAGAAUAAGGAGAGGGCAAGUCUGGUGUCAGCCGCCGCGGUAAUACCAGCUCUCCGAGUGGUGUGGAUGUUUAUUGGGCCUAAAGCAUCCGUAGCUGGCUGAUCAAGUCCCCUGUUAAACCCAGCGAAUUAAUCGUUGGAUCGCGGGGGAUACUGCUCGGCUAGGGGGCGAGAGAGGCCGACGGUAUUUCCGGGGUAGGGGUGAAAUCCUAUAAUCCCGGGAAGACCACCAGUGGCGAAGGCUGUCGGCUAGAACGCGCUCGACGGUGAGGGAUGAAAGCUGGGGGAGCGAACC